rnacentral:rRNA from 1 species
GACGAACGCUGGCGGCGUGCCUAAUACAUGCAAGUUGAGCGCUGAAGGUUGGUACUUGUACCAACUGGAUGAGCAGCGAACGGGUGAGUAACGCGUGGGGAAUCUGCCUUUGAGCGGGGGACAACAUUUGGAAACGAAUGCUAAUACCGCAUAAGAACUUUAAACACAAGUUUUAAGUUUGAAAGAUGCAAUUGCAUCACUCAAAGAUGAUCCCGCGUUGUAUUAGCUAGUUGGUGAGGUAAAGGCUCACCAAGGCGAUGAUACAUAGCCGACCUGAGAGGGUGAUCGGCCACAUUGGGACUGAGACACGGCCCAAACUCCUACGGGAGGCAGCAGUAGGGAAUCUUCGGCAAUGGACGAAAGUCUGACCGAGCAACGCCGCGUGAGUGAAGAAGGUUUUCGGAUCGUAAAACUCUGUUGGUAGAGAAGAACGUUGGUGAGAGUGGAAAGCUCAUCAAGUGACGGUAACUACCCAGAAAGGGACGGCUAACUACGUGCCAGCAGCCGCGGUAA